UCGAGCGAGAAGCCCCUUCGGGGGUGAGUAAAGCGGCGGACGGGUGAGUAACGCGUGGACAACCUAUCCAAUGGUUCGGGAUAACCCUGCGAAAGCGGGGCUAAUACCGGAUAAUCUGCAUAUUUCCAGGGAGAUUUGCGGUAAAGUAUGCCUCUGAUACAAGCAUGCGCCAUGGGAAGGGUCCGCGUCCCAUUAGCUAGUUGGUAGGGUAACGGCCUACCGAGGCGACGAUGGGUAGCUGGUUUGAGAGGAUGAUCAGCCACAUUGGGACUGGAACACGGCCCAAACUCCUACGGGAGGCAGCAGUGGGGAAUCUUGGGCAAUGGGCGAAAGCCUGACCCAGCGACGCCGCGUGAGGGAAGAAGGCCCUCGGGUCGUAAACCUCUGUCAGGAGGGAAGAAAAUGCUACGGAUUAACAGUUCGUAGUAUUGACGGUACCUCCAGAGGAAGCGCCGGCCAACUCCGUGCCAGCAGCCGCGGUAAUACGGAGGGCGCAAGCGUUAUUCGGAAUUACUGGGCGUAAAGCGCGCGUAGGCGGCAACGUAAGUCAGGUGUGAAAGCCCUCGGCUCAACCGGGGGAUGGCACUUGAAACUGCGUAGCUAGAGUUCUGGAGAGGGUGGCGGAAUUCCCGGUGUAGGAGUGAAAUCCGUAGAGAUCGGGAAGAACACCAGAGGCGAAGGCGGCACCUGGGCAGAAACUGACGCUGAGGCGCGAAGCGUGGGU
rnacentral:rRNA from 1 species